rnacentral:lncRNA from 1 species
GGUGGGGGGAGUAGUUUUGGCUGGGAGGGUGAAGCAGACAGGGCCAGGUAAGACAGAGCCAGGCAUUGGUUUCAGAGGUCUGCCUGACAGGACCAGGAGAGGGAAUCAGAGCUGAGGCUAGAGCUGGAGGGACCUGUCCAGGAUUGGCCCUCGGGAGGCUGUGAUGGAGGGGAGCCUGCUGAUGGCAAGGAACAAGGGCAGAACCAGCAGUGCCAGGAUAAAGCUCUGGGACUCUUAGGUGUUUAUGAAAAAAAAUGCACAAUAUCCCGACUGACCGGAAUAAUUGAUGAAGAAGGGUGCUGGAUCCGUGGGUCAGAGAACACACAGGACCAGCUUGCCACCCCAAGGCCGAAGUCUGGUGUCUCGGAUUUGGCUCUUCGUUGCCCACUCCUGCUGCAUCUUGUCCAGCCGAGGGACAAAACACCCUGCCACUUCUCUGAAGAACAGGAAGAAAAGAAGUCAUGGAGGCAGAUUCCAGCACAGCCAGAGACUGAGAUGUUGAGCUCAGAGGGAGCAGGGAUCACCAAGGCACAUGCUGCCUGAAGCCCCAGGAAAGCUGGACAAGAGGCACAUUGGCCCAAGUGGUACAAGUACUAACAGUGACAUGCCAUGGACAUAGUACAGGCUGCCCAUCCAAGACCCACCAAAUGGAGGAUAGCACAGCAGAGUCUUUCUCACUUUGUAAAACCUGGCACAAGGACAGAGAAGCCGGAGCAGCAGCGUGUAUCCCAGAACUGCUAGAAAAAGCCAGAGAGGAUGACAUAUUGACUUGUGAUCAAUUGCACCAAUAGGUACUGUGAGAAGAGGCCUCACCUCCUUCAAUCCCAUUGCAUCUGGAUGCCAUUCUUCACUGUAAGCCUGAAGUCCUGCCUCAGCUGCCAACAUCCUGCUUAACAUUGCUUAUGAGGAAGUGCCCAUUUUCUCCUCCAUAUUCUGGAUUCACUCGUUAUGCAUAGCACUGGGUCAAUUUAGAUAGAAGCACCCUGAGACAUUCCUACUUCUCAGAAGCUGCCAAAUGUAUGUCACACCUGUGUCGCGUAUAACCUGGGGUCCACUUCUGACAGAUGCUGCCUCCUUGAUCAGUGAUUCUUUCCCUCAGCAAUGUGGUACCAUUCUCCCCUGCCUCAUGCAUCCCAGUUGUGACUUUGUCAGCUCCUGGUGUUUGGAUUGCAUGAAGAUGGAGAAGGAAUGGUUGGAGGAAAAACCUUAGUCUGCUUGGAGGCUGGAGCCUGGCUCCAACCUAGGCAGAAGGUCCCCAACCCCCAGCUCAUGUUCUGCCUUGUCCUCUUCCCACGACUUAGUCUUACCUUUUAUGUCUGUCCUAUCCAGGACAGUUGUACUUUAGUUUUUUCAAUUAAACAAAAUUUGGUUACUUUUUAUUAUUG